rnacentral:SRP_RNA from 1 species
GCCAGGUGCAGUGACGCAUGCCUGUAGUCCCAGCUACUCAGGAGGCUGAGGCUGGAGGAUCGCUUGAGCACAGGAGUUCCGGGCUGUAGUGCACUAUGCCGAUAGGGUGUCCGCACUAAGUUCAGCAUCAAUAUGGUGACCUCCUAGGAACGGGGGACCACCAGGUUGCCUAAGGAGGGGUGAACCAGACCAGGUCAGAAACCGAGCAGGUCAAAACUCCCAUGCUGAUCAGUAGUGGGAUCGUACCUAUGAAUAGCCACUGCACUCCAGUCUGGGCAACGUAGCGAGAUCCCGUCUCU